AGAGUUGAUCUGGCUCAGGAUGAACGCUAGCGGCAGGCUAACACAUGCAAGCCGAGGGGCAACGCGAGUAGCAAUACUUGGCGGCGACCGGCGCAAGGGUGCGUAACGCGUGAGCAACAUGCCCGUAUCAGGGGGAUAAUCCAGGGAAACUUGGUCUAAUACCCCAUAGUAAUUUUGUAAGGCAUCUUAUAAGAUUUAAAGCUUUGGUGGAUACGGAUUGGCUCGCGUGACAUUAGCUGGAUGGUAAGGUAACGGCUUACCACGGCUAUGAUGUCUAGGGGUUCUGAGAGGAAGGUCCCCCACACUGGAACUGAGACACGGUCCAGACUCCUACGGGAGGCAGCAGUGAGGAAUAUUGGACAAUGGAUGGAAAUCUGAUCCAGCCAUGCCGCGUGAAGGAAGAAGGUCCUAUGGAUUGUAAACUUCUUUUGUAUGGGAGCAAUAAGGCCUACGAGUAGGUUGAUGAGAGUACCAUACGAAUAAGCACCGGCUAACUCCGUGCCAGCCGCUGC
rnacentral:rRNA from 1 species